rnacentral:rRNA from 1 species
AGAACGAACGCUGGCGGCAUGCCUAACACAUGCAAGUCGAACGCUUUUGGGGCUUCGGUCCCAAAGGAGUGGCGCACGGGUGAGUAGCGCGUGGGAACCUGCCCUGGAGUGGGGGAUAACCGAGGGAAACUUCGGCUAAUACCGCAUACGCCGGGAAACCGGGAAAGAUUUAUCGCUCUAGGAGGGGCCCGCGUCGGAUUAGGUAGUUGGUGGGGUAACGGCCUACCAAGCCUGUGAUCCGUAGCUGGUCUGAGAGGAUGAUCAGCCACACUGGGACUGAGACACGGCCCAGACUCCUACGGGAGGCAGCAGUGGGGAAUAUUGGACAAUGGGCGCAAGCCUGAUCCAGCAAUGCCGCGUGAGUGAUGAAGGCCUUCGGGUUGUAAAGCUCUUUCGCACGCGAGGAUGAUGACGCUAGCGUGAGAAGAAGCGCCGGCUAACUUCGUGCCAGCAGCCGC